ACGUAGGGGGCAAGCGUUGUCCGGAAUUACUGGGCGUAAAGCGCACGCAGGCGGUUGGUUAAGUCAGGUGUGAAAUACCCGGGCUCAACCCCGGGUCUGCUCUUGAUACUGCAGGACUUGAGUAUUGGAGAGGGAAGUGGAAUUCCCGGUGUAGAGGUGAAAUGCGUAGAUAUCGGGAGGAACACCAGUGGCGAAGGCGGUUUCCUGGCCGAAAACUGACACUCAUGUGCGAAAGCUGGGGGAGCAAACGG
rnacentral:rRNA from 1 species